rnacentral:rRNA from 1 species
AGUGAACGCUGGCGGUAGGCCUAACACAUGCAAGUCGAACGGCAGCACAGUAAGAUCUUGCUCUUACGGGUGGCGAGUGGCGGACGGGUGAGGAAUACAUCGGAAUCUACUUUUUCGUGGGGGAUAACGUAGGGAAACUUACGCUAAUACCGCAUACGACCUACGGGUGAAAGCAGGAGAUCUUCGGACCUUGCGCGAUUGAAUGAGCCGAUGUCGGAUUAGCUAGUUGGCGGGGUAAAGGCCCACCAAGGCGACGAUCCGUAGCUGGUCUGAGAGGAUGAUCAGCCACACUGGAACUGAGACACGGUCCAGACUCCUACGGGAGGCAGCAGUGGGGAAUAUUGGACAAUGGGCGCAAGCCUGAUCCAGCAAUACCGCGUGGGUGAAGAAGGCCUUCGGGUUGUAAAGCCCUGUUGUUGGGAAAGAAAAGCAGUAGGUUAAUACCCCGAUGUUCUGACGGUACCCAAAGAAUAAGCACCGGCUAACUUCGUG